CCUACGGGAGGCAGCAGUGGGGAAUAUUGCGCAAUGGGCGAAAGCCUGACGCAGCGACGCCGCGUGAGGGAUGAAGGUCUUCGGAUUGUAAACCUCUUUCAGCAGGGACGAAGCGAAAGUGACGGUACCUGAAGAAGAAGCACCGGCUAACUACGUGCCAGCAGCCGCGGUAAUACGUAGGGUGCAAGCGUUGUCCGGAUUUAUUGGGCGUAAAGAGCUCGUAGGCGGUUAGACACGUCGGAUGUGAAAACUGGGGGCUCAACCCCCAGCCUGCAUUCGAUACGGUCUGACUAGAGUGUGGUAGGGGUAACUGGAAUUCCUGGUGUAGCGGUGAAAUGCGCAGAUAUCAGGAGGAACACCGAUGGCGAAGGCAGGUUACUGGGCCACCACUGACGCUGAGGAGCGAAAGCGUGGGGAGCAAACAGGAUUAGAUACCCUGGUAGUCCACGCCGUAAACGGUGGGCGCUAGAUGUGGGGACCAUUCCAUGGUUUCUGCGUCGCAGCUAACGCAUUAAGCGCCCGCCUGGGGAGUACGGUCGCAAGACUAAACUCAAAGGAAUUGAGG
rnacentral:rRNA from 1 species